rnacentral:rRNA from 1 species
UACAGAGGGUGCGAGCGUUAAUCGGAAUUACUGGGCGUAAAGCGUGCGCAGGCGGUUAUGCAAGACAGAUGUGAAAUCCCCGGGCUUAACCUGGGAACCGCAUUUGUGACUGCAUAGCUGGAGUACGGCAGAGGGGGAUGGAAUUCCGCGUGUAGCAGUGAAAUGCGUAGAUAUGCGGAGGAACACCGAUGGCGAAGGCAGUCCCCUGGGCCUGUACUGACGCUCAUGCACGAAAGCGUGGGGAGCAAACAGG